rnacentral:rRNA from 1 species
CAGUAGCCGCGGUAAUACGGAGGGUGCAAGCGUUAAUCGGAAUUGCUGGGCGUAAAGCGUGCGUAGGCGGUUCGUUAAGUCUGUUGUGAAAGCCCCGGGCUCAACCUGGGAAUGGCAAUGGAUACUGGCGAGCUAAAGUGUGUCAGAGGAUGGUGGAAUUCCCGGUGUAGCGGUGAAAUGCGUAGAGAUCGGGAGGAACAUCAGUGGCGAAGGCGGCCAUCUGGGACAACACUGACGCUGAGGCACGAAAGCGCGGGGAGCAAACAGGAUUAGAUACCCGUGUAGUCCCUGUCUCUUAUAC